UCUCGGCAACGGAUAUCUCGGCUCUCGCAUCGAUGAAGAACGCACGAAAUGCGAUACCUGGUGUGAAUUGCAGAAUCCCGCGAACCAUCGAGUCUUUGAACGCAAGUUGCGCCCGAGGCCAUCCGGCCGAGGGCACGCCUGCCUGGGCGUCACGCUAAACACGCUC
rnacentral:rRNA from 2 species